rnacentral:rRNA from 1 species
AUGAUUGAUCUGAAUGAAGUACCAGCUGAAAAUAAUGAUGAUCCAUUGUACUGUACACAACAUGGUUCUGGAAAUGCAGAAUUUGUGGCGGAAUCACCUAAUCCCCCUAUCAUCCAAAGAGUCGAUGGUGCUGCUACAGAAGCAAUGGAGGCAGAUGGGAAGUCAAGUCAUGGGGGUCGUGCUCCGGGCAGUACACAAGUACCUGCAGCUAUAGCAACUGGGGAUGCUCAUACCCUAGAUGGCACAGGUGCUGCAGGUGAUACCGGUGGCACUGUUGGUAAUGGUUUGGGUGCUGAAAAUGAUGAUGAAGCUUGGUCACAGCCCAAGGAGCCUUACGUGGGCAUGAGGUUCGACACUUUGGAAGAUGCCAAGGUGCAUUACAAUGCAUAUUCCUUGCAAAUGGGGUUUUCAAUCAAAAUGAAUAGUUCAAGGAAGGAUCUCAAAACAGGGGAGUUGAUAAAACAACAGUUUGUUUGCAACAAGUUUCGGAAGCCUGAUGUUGAUGACGGAGGGGCAGAAAAGAUUCCCGUGCUAGAUGACAUUGUUGAGCAAGAAAAAAAUGAUAAUGAAGAUGAGGCUAUUGUCUUUCUUGAUGAUGAUAGUAAAGGCAAAAAGAGGAGCAAGAAACGAAAAAGAGAUAAAAUUGUGCAAACUGGUUGCAAAGCUAAGAUGAUUGUGAAGGUAAUAGAUGGCAGAUGGGAAGUGAUCUACUUUGUUAGCGAGCACAACCACCCGUUGGUUGACAAGCCAUGUUUGACUAAAUAUUUGCAAUCACACCAAGGGAUCCCGCCGGAAGAAAGGGCCUUCCUUACUCAUCUUCAUAACUGCAAUUUAACUACAGAUGCCUUAGUUGCUUGA